GACGAACGCUGGCGGCGUGCCUAAUACAUGCAAGUAGAACGCUGAAGAGAGGAGCUUGCUCUUCUUGGAUGAGUUGCGAACGGGUGAGUAACGCGUAGGUAACCUGCCUUGUAGCGGGGGAUAACUAUUGGAAACGAUAGCUAAUACCGCAUAACAAUGGAUGACACAUGUCAUUUAUUUGAAAGGGGCAAUUGCUCCACUACAAGAUGGACCUGCGUUGUAUUAGCUAGUAGGUGAGGUAAUGGCUCACCUAGGCGACGAUACAUAGCCGACCUGAGAGGGUGAUCGGCCACACUGGGACUGAGACACGGCCCAGACUCCUACGGGAGGCAGCAGUAGGGAAUCUUCGGCAAUGGGGGCAACCCUGACCGAGCAACGCCGCGUGAGUGAAGAAGGUUUUCGGAUCGUAAAGCUCUGUUGUAAGUCAAGAACGGGUGUGAGAGCGGAAAGUUCACACUGUGACGGUAGCUUACCAGAAAGGGACGGCUAACUACGUG
rnacentral:rRNA from 1 species